rnacentral:rRNA from 1 species
UACAGAGGGUGCAAGCGUUAAUCGGAAUUACUGGGCGUAAAGCGCGCGUAGGUGGUUUGUUAAGUUGGAUGUGAAAUCCCCCGGGCUCAACCUGGGGAACUGCAUCCAAAAACUGGCAAGCUAGAGUAUGGUAGAGGGUGGUGGAAUUUCCUGUGUAGCGGUGAAAUGCGUAGAUAUAGGAAGGAACACCAGUGGCGAAGGCGACCACCUGGACUGAUACUGACACUGAGGUGCGAAAGCGUGGGGAGCAAACAGG